AUUUUUUUUUGGGUAAAAAACCCCAUAAAGUGGGGGUGAAGUUAGUACACGGGUUAGUAGUCAAGUGUUUCAGUUAGAUUAGGAUACUUAAUAGCUUUUAAGAUUUCUACUUUGAAUAUAUUUAUUUUAUUGAGUGUGUGAGAGUGAUUAGGACUUAGGAGUACUUUUAUAAGUCAAUUUAGGAUUUUCAGAAGGUAAAUAUGUAAUACACCCCCAUCAAUUAAGGAUGGUUUGGAUAAAGUAAUUUAAGUUUUUUUUCAAGAGUUUUGGUGUUGUUGAGCAUUGCAUACAGGAUUGGAAUCUCAAACCUGAUUUCCCUCCUACCUUCUUCUGAUAUACUUUUAACAGGUG